GGGGAAUAUUGGUCAAUGGGCGAAAGCCUGAACCAGCGACGUCGCGUGGAGGAUGAAGGCCGAAAGGUCUUAAACUCCUUUUGUAAGGGAAAAAGAAAUAGAAUGCAAAUAGUGUUCUAUUUUUGAUUGUACCUUGCGAAUAAGCCCCAGCUAACUACGUGCCAGCAGCUGCGGUAAAACGUAGGGGGCAAGCGUUAUCCGGAAUUACUGGGUGUAAAGGGUACGCAGGCGGACCUAUAAGUUGGAUGUAAAAACUCGAGGCUCAACCUCGAGCUUGCGUUCAAUACUGUAGGUCUUGAGAGUAGGAGAGGGAAGUGGAAUUCCCGGUGUAGCGGUAAAAUGCUUAGAUAUCGGGAGGAACACCAAUGGCGAAGGCAGCUUCCUUGCCUAUCUCUGACGCUCGGGUACGAAAGCUAGGGGAGCAAACAG
rnacentral:rRNA from 1 species